rnacentral:rRNA from 1 species
GUGGGGAAUCUUAGACAAUGGGCGCAAGCCUGAUCUAGCCAUGCCGCGUGAGCGAUGAAGGCCUUAGGGUUGUAAAGCUCUUUCAGGGGGGAAGAUAAUGACGGUACCCCCAGAAGAAGCCCCGGCUAACUCCGUGCCAGCAGCCGCGGUAAUACGGAGGGGGCUAGCGUUGUUCGGAAUUACUGGGCGUAAAGCGCACGUAGGCGUACCAGAAAGUCAGGGGUGAAAUCCCGGGGCUCAACCCCGGAACUGCCUUUGAAACUCCUGGUCUUGAGGUCGAGAGAGGUGAGUGGAAUUCCGAGUGUAGAGGUGAAAUUCGUAGAUAUUCGGAGGAACACCAGUGGCGAAGGCGGCCCACUGGCUCGAUACUGACGCUGAGGUGCGAAAGCGUGGGGAGCAAACAGGAUUAGAAACCCUGGUAGUCC